GCCCAAAGUCGCACGUGCCUGUGGGUGUCCGCUGGUUCUCAAAUGGUGAGAUUAACCGGUACGGUACAUGGAAUUAACCACUCCAGUCAUUCUUACGGCCAACCGAAAGAGUGAGGACAUCUUGAAGCAACGACGGUGCGGGCCUUU
rfam:Bartonella quintana JK 73 genomic scaffold adkfV-supercont1.2, whole genome shotgun sequence.